AAAGGACAAGUUCAGCUCCUUCG
rnacentral:misc_RNA from 1 species